AAGAUCCUAGCUUAAUUAAAGCAUCUGAGUUGCAAUCAGGAGAUGCAGGGGAGCGUCCUGCGGAUUUUA
rnacentral:tRNA from 1 species